rnacentral:miRNA from 1 species
UUAAGACAUUAAGUUGAUUCUU